UACGUAGGGUGCAAGUGUUGUCCGGAAUUAUUGGGCGUAAAGAGCUCGUAGGCGGUUUGUCGCGUCUGCCGUGAAAGUCCGGGGCUCAACUCCGGAUCUGCGGUGGGUACGGGCAGACUAGAGUGAUGUAGGGGAGACUGGAAUUCCUGGUGUAGCGGUGAAAUGCGCAGAUAUCAGGAGGAACACCGAUGGCGAAGGCAGGUCUCUGGGCAUUAACUGACGCUGAGGAGCGAAAGCAUGGGGAGCGAACAGG
rnacentral:rRNA from 1 species